GAAAUGCGAUACGUAAUGUGAAUUGCAGAACUCAGUGAAUCAUCGAAUUUUUGAACGCACCUUGCGCUCUCUAGUUAUUCUGGAGAGCAUGCUUGUUUGAGUGUCGCGAACCUCUCAACCCCGUUAAAGGCUUAAUUGACUUUGAUUGCUUGGGCUUGGAUCAUGGUCACUUGUCGUUUAUAACGACUUGACUGAAAUACAACAAGUUGAAUGAAUCCAUUUGCAGCUUGACCUGAUGUUGUAAACUACUCAUCGGGGAUGCAUAAGGAAGUCAAGGAACUUUAACAGAACCCCAUAUAGUACUUAGUACAAUUUAUGACCUCAAAUCAAGUAGGACUACCCGCUGAACUUAA
rnacentral:misc_RNA from 1 species